rnacentral:rRNA from 1 species
ACAAAGGGCAGCAAGUUCGCGAGGACAAGCAAAUCCCAUAAACCGUGGCUCAGUUCAGAUCGUAGGCUGCAACUCGCCUACGUGAAGUAGGAAUCGCUAGUAAUCGCAGGUCAGCAUACUGCGGUGAAUACGUUCCCGGGCCUUGUACACACCGCCCGUCACACCAUGGAAGUUGGCCACGCCCGAAGCCGUUACUCCAACCCUUGUGGAGGAGGACGUCGAAGGUGGGGCUGAUGACUGGGGUGAAGUCGUAACAAGGUAGCCGUACCGGAAGGUGCGGCUGGAUCACCUCCUAA